ACAGUGAAAUGCUGAAUACAACAGGUGUAGUAGACCUCACAGUGAAAUGCUGAAUACAACAGGUGUAGUAGACCUUACAGUGAAAUGCUGAAUACAACAGGUGUAGUAGACCUUACAGUGAAAUGCUGAAUACAACAGGUGUAGUAGACCUCACAGUGAAAUGCUGAAUACAACAGGUGUAGUAGACCUCACAGUGAAAUGCUGAAUACAACAGGUGUAGUAGACCUUACAGUGAAAUGCUGAAUACAACAGGUGUAGUAGACCUUACAGUGAAAUGCUGAAUACAACAGGUGUAGUAGACCUCACAGUGAAAUGCUGAAUACAACAGGUGUAGUAGACCUCACAGUGAAAUGCUGAAUACAACAGGUGUAGUAGACCUUACAGUGAAAUGCUGAAUACAACAGGUGUAGUAGACCUUACAGUGAAAUGCUGAAUACAACAGGUGUAGUAGACCUUACAGUGAAAUGCUGAAUACAACAGGUGUAGUAGACCUCACAGUGAAAUGCUGAAUACAACAGGUGUAGUAGACCUCACAGUGAAAUGCUGAAUACAACAGGUGUAGUAGACCUUACAGUGAAAUGCUGAAUACAACAGGUGUAGUAGACCUCACAGUGAAAUGCUGAAUACAACAGGUGUAGUAGACCUCACAGUGAAAUGCUGAAUACAACAGGUGUAGUAGACCUCACAGUGAAAUGCUGAAUACAACAGGUGUAGUAGACCUCACAGUGAAAUGCUGAAUACAACAGGUGUAGUAGACCUCACAGUGAAAUGCUGAAUACAACAGGUGUAGUAGACCUCACAGUGAAAUGCUGAAUACAACAGGUGUAGUAGACCUUACAGUGAAAUGCUGAAUACAACAGGUGUAGUAGACCUCACAGUGAAAUGCUGAAUACAACAGGUGUAGUAGACCUUACAGUGAAAUGCUGAAUACAACAGGUGUAGUAGACCUCACAGUGAAAUGCUGAAUACAACAGGUGUAGUAGACCUCACAGUGAAAUGCUGAAUACAACAGGUGUAGUAGACCUUACAGUGAAAUGCUGAAUACAACAGGUGUAGUAGACCUCACAGUGAAAUGCUGAAUACAACAGGUGUAGUAGACCUUACAGUGAAAUGCUGAAUACAACAGGUGUAGUAGACCUCACAGUGAAAUGCUGAAUACAACAGGUGUAGUAGACCUUACAGUGAAAUGCUGAAUACAACAGGUGUAGUAGACCUCACAGUGAAAUGCUGAAUACAACAGGUGUAGUAGACCUUACAGUGAAAUGCUGAAUACAACAGGUGUAGUAGACCUCACAGUGAAAUGCUGAAUACAACAGGUGUAGUAGACCUCACAGUGAAAUGCUGAAUACAACAGGUGUAGUAGACCUUACAGUGAAAUGCUGAAUACAACAGGUGUAGUAGACCUCACAGUGAAAUGCUGAAUACAACAGGUGUAGUAGACCUUACAGUGAAAUGCUGAAUACAAGUGUAGUAGACCUAACAGUGAAAUGCUGAAUACAACAGGUGUAGUAGACCUUACAGUGAAAUGCUGAAUACAACAGGUGUAGUAGACCUUACAGUGAAAUGCUGAAUACAACAGGUGUAGUAGACCUUACAGUGAAAUGCUGAAUACAACAGGUGUAGUAGACCUUACAGUGAAAUGCUGAAUACAACAGGUGUAGUAGACCUCACAGUGAAAUGCUGAAUACAACAGGUGUAGUAGACCUUACAGUGAAAUGCUGAAUACAACAGGUGUAGUAGACCUUAAAGUGAAAUGCUGAAUACAACAGGUGUAGUAGACCUCACAGUGAAAUGCUGAAUACAACAGGUGUAGUAGACCUCACAGUGAAAUGCUGAAUACAACAGGUGUAGUAGACCUCACAGUGAAAUGCUGAAUACAACAGGUGUAG